AUGAUGUAAACUUAUUUCUGCUGUUAUUGCCCCUCCUAUAUCACCCUUUCCCUAUAUAUGAAGACCUACAAGAAAAUUUAAGAUUAUCUAGGGGAGAAAAAUGUAACUUUUCCUUUAUCCUUUUAGGUUCUUGGUUGAGACAUCCCUGUAAUAAAAGACUAGAGGAGAAAAGCAAACCAAAGUUUAAUUACAUGUGUACCUCCUGCACACAUGGGAGAUACCCAGGAAAUCUGAGUAACUCCCUGAAAUGGCUCCAGCUGUCACCUAAAACAGCACCUCCAGCUAAAGACAAAAGAUGUUGAGAGAAGGCUGGAAGCCAGUUAAGGGAGGUUACCAGGAGAGUCUGAGCAAACAAGCCCAGGGGACCUGUGUGUGAUGAUGAACUGUAACACUGUCCUCCACUGCCUAAUAGGCUUGAUCAUAUAACCAUGCUUACAUGGCUCCGAAGUUCAAGAAGGCAUCACUCACAGGUCUGGCAGUUGGUCGUGGUUAUCAGCUAAGGUGCCUCAGAUGAUUCCAUGUCAGUCUCUUAUCCUUCAGUAACCUGGACAGGAUUUCUUUUGUAUUCCAAGAAGGCAAGACAUAAGGCAUAAGUAGCUUUUAAGCCUCUGCUUGCAACAUGUUUGCUGAUGUUCCCACUGGCCAAAGACAGUAAUGUUGCCAAGCCAAGAGUAAA